rnacentral:tRNA from 1 species
GUCCCUGUAGCGCAAUGAUUAGCGCAUUGGGCUUCUAACCCAAAGGUCGUGGCUUAGAAUCCCACCUGGGAUG